rnacentral:tRNA from 1 species
GGCCCGUUCGUCUAGCGGCCUAGGACACCGCCCUCUCAAGGCGGAGAUUCACGGGUUCGAAUCCCGUACGGGCUACCA